rnacentral:lncRNA from 1 species
GAAAUUCUUGGCUGGUAACCGCGAAACCGACUGGAGCAGGAGCUGGGAGAACUGGAGAAAACUGCUCUAAUCUCACUUGACUCCAGCUAGGAGCUGAUGCUGCAUCGUAAUAACAUUUGCAGAGCGCUUUCACAGGCCCUGGAGUGACUUGUCUGAGAUUCCUCCAGAACUGAGCCCUUUGUUGGAACCAUACCCCAGCCCAUGGUCCCAUGACUAGGUGGAUAGUACUCCUUGUACCUCCUGCAACCCAGAACCCUGGCUGACCACUUUGAAGGAGGAUGCUCCAGCAGGUCAAUGGCCACAAUCCGGGGUCUGAUGGCCAAGCCAGGGAGUACCUCAGAGAAGACCUGCAGGAGUUCCUGGGUGGGGAGGUCCUGCUGUACAAGCUGGAUGACCUCACCAGGGUGAAUCCUGUGACACUAGAGACAGUCCUGAGGUGCCUGCAGGCCCGGUACAUGGCAGACACAUUCUACACCAAUGCUGGCUGCACCCUGGUAGCCUUGAACCCCUUCAAGCCUGUUCCUCAGCUCUACUCGCCUGAGCUAAUGAGAGAGUACCAUGCUGCGCCUCAGCCCCAGGUAAGGCUCUGCCGCUGCCUGUGGCCUCAGGGCUCCUCUACCUCCCGCUAAACCUCUUUGCAGUUACCCCUGUCCUUAUUCAUCUAUUCACCAGCAAUGUGGUCAUUCAGAGUCUGCUAGUGC